GUCUUCCAUCAGGUACCUGAAUCUCUGGCUGCACGGCCCAAGCCAGGAAGCCUGUGGUCCCUGAGUCUUCCAAAGUGCCCGCCAAUGCCUGUGAUAAUCACAUUGCACUCCUCUCUGUGGCCUGGCCCAAACCACCCUCUCAUCUAGGGCAGGGGCCUGCCAACUUUCUGUCGAAGGCUAGACUGCGAAUAUUUUAGGCUUUUUGGGCCAUAGGGUGUAUCACCCUUCUUCAACUCUGCCCUUGUAAUGCAAAAACAGCCAUGGACAGUAUGUAAACAAGUGACUUUCUAGGAUGCCCCUGAUUGUGCCGCACCCAUGCUUGAACACCUGCAUGGCUCUCUGAGGCCCAGACCAGUGCAGCUAAGGCCAGUGACCAGUGACCAGCGACCAGUGAGAGCCGCCUCCUGCCAUCUGUGAAGUGGAACCAGCACUGCUCAUCUGCCUCCUGGUCAUUAGAUGGUCAUGCCUGGGUGGAAGGGACUGUGCAUAGCAUGGAUGUUGUCCAUGGAAAGCGCUCAGCAUAGGAAGACAGUUGCUGUUGUUUGCCAUCAGAUUGCCAACCCAUACCAACUGAAAGUUGAAGGCCUACCCAGAGAAUGUGGAGCUUGGCAGCCAUGACUGCUGCUACUGAGUUUUACAUCGCUGCUGCUGUCUCCCCCCCACCCCCCGAGAGGCCACGAUGGACAUGGGGGUUUUGGCAUCCGAUGCCUACAUUCCGAGUCUGCCACGUCCACUUACUGAGCAGCAGGCCAGUGAGUACGUCUCAGCCCCUCUGAGCCCCUGUGUCCUGCCCAUGAAGGUUGGGGUACUAACACCGACACAGAAUAUGGCCCUGGGACAAGAAAUGUAGAGAUUUUUUGGCCCGCUGAGACUGCAUAACCAUCUGCCAUAAAUUGAGACUAGUACGGCUUAUUUUGGUGAAUGCAAAAUUGGAUCCCAUUCUUUACUCUGUGGCUUGAUUCAACUUCCAGAUGGUUAAUCCACAUGAAGUAAUAGGAAUGCACCACAGCUCUGCUUAGCUGAAGAUGGAGACGUAAUAUUUAUUUGCUGAUGUGGAGGCCUCUGAAUGCUGCCCUGUCGGGAUGUCAAUCUAUAACACAGCAGCACAGAAAUGUCAGCCUGUUUCAUGGGAGCGGCAGCCUUCCUCCGCGUUGCCAUGGGGGACCCCCGGAUGUCUUUUUUUUUUUUUUUUUUUUUUGGUCUGCCCUUGACCUAAUCUCAAGAGGUUUUGUUCUCUCCUGGGCUGUUUCUUAUCAGCUACGUCUGCCCAUGUAGCCGGCUUCGCAUCUGCUUUGACUUUAGUGCCUGUGACAUUUUCAUUAAUACUUCUUCAAGGUUGAGCCUUUACUUCAAAUAUCCUGCAGUUCUCGUAGCUCAGCUGUGCCCAGCUAGGGGCCGCCGGGAAAUUUGGCUCAGCGGUAUCGACAAGCUCAGUCAUCUCCGCCCAGUUGGGCUAAUCAAUCCAUUUUCAUUUUUGCCUCUCCCCGGUCUAUCCUGCCACGCUGGGAAUGCUCUGAAGGAGAUCUAGGUCAGCGGAUUCGGGGGCCUUUGACCCCACUGGCACUUUUACUCCCAGGGGUCUGGACUGCCCCCUCUGCCUGGAUUACCCCCCCCCCCCCACCAGCCACCCUUGCCCUUGUAAACUCCCAACCUACUCCACCUCUGGACUUCAGAGGUGGACCACGUUACCCCGCCUACCCCAGGGAGGACUGGGGCUUCCUGUUGGCCCCCACGAGACCACGUGGAACACCCACGUUUGAAUCACUUGGGGAGUGUUUUAAAAAUGCAUACUCCUGGGUCAUGGGAGACCAACUGUCGCAAUUUGCUCAAAACUGUCCUGGUUUUAGAACUGGAGUCCUGAGUCCCAGAGAACCCCUAAGGUCUGGGCAAAAGGGGACAGUUGGUCACCCUACUUGGGCUCUACUCCCGAUCUGCAGAAGGAGGACCCCUGAGGGCUCAGGCCUAGGGUUCUGCAUUUUGGUCAGUUUCCAACAGAGACGCUGGUGCACAAUUGAACUUGGGAACUGAAACUGGAAGCCAUGAGUGCCCGCAGAGCCCAUGCUCUCUCACUCGUGUGCCCGGCAGAGAUUGGAUGUAUAGGACAUUUUGCAUGAAUUUAGCACCAAACGCCAUCAUCGUUUACUUCUGUAGAGUGUUUGCUUCCCCGCUGACAGUGAGACCCUCCAGAGAAGAAAGAGGCUCUGCCCCAUUCACUUUUGAAUUCUUAGCUCCCAGCUCUGUGCCUGGCCCGCAGUCAACACUCCAAACAGACUGGAGGAAUAAUUAGAUACAAGCAAAUAUUCAUGGUAGGGAAAGUGACCCAGACCUGUUUCCCACAUACUUUUCCAAUGUUCUGGGAUGGACUCUAUUAGAAAUUAGAUCAAGGAAAUUCUAGUUAGGGCAGGAAUUAGAUCUAGGAUAUUUUUUAAAGGAACGAAAACCUUGGAAGUCCCAAGAUGAAACAAAUGAGAAAUUAGAUCUAAGAAAUUCUAAAAUGGAAUGGACAGGAACUGCAAACGUUCUACGAUGGAAUCAUUCUUUCUUCCUUGAUUGUCCCGGGAGCUUCUGCAGGCAGAAAGUACAAGAGGCUGGAUGCCUUGUACCUGAUUAUCACAGCUCAACAUCCCUUAAUGCCUUCAAAUGUUGAAAGUCUGCAGCUCCCCAAAUAAUCAUAGCUGUGCAUGAAGACGGACUCAAGUGUGAGGUGUCCAGGCUGGGUAGGGGAGGACCAGGGAGCUCAGAAAACAAGCUGGGCCAAGGGUAAAGGAGUGGUAGCCAGUGUCUGGCCCCGACAGGAUCUCAGCACCAGGAUCCUUCUCUUCUCAAUGGGCAGAGCUCAGCCAGGUGAUACCCCUGUCACCUGAGUGCAACCCCCAGCUUUAUUCUAAGUGAUCAGAUCUCUCCACCUCAUCUGUAUGAUAAAGAUGGAAAGACUCUCCUCUGGAUUGUGGUGCAAACGUAAAGGAUUAUUUGCAUGGGUUUGCAUUGCAUGUCUGUGAAAACACUGCCCUUGGCUCAGGGUCCUGGUCUCACACCCUGCUCGCGAUCAUCAAGUUGGCAAGAGGGAACAGAUGCAAGGAAUAGAGUCUGCGACUGCAAAAAGAGCUGGGUGCUCCUUAAGGGAUCGAACCCACAGGAUUUAGUGGCCAUCAGCACGCUUGUUCGAAUGCAUCAUCUAAGGCCCCAGUGAUAGGCUGUGGAAGGAAGCAGGAGACCUGGCUCAACGCCCCCACUCCCUGACUGGGUCAAGUGCGCCUCUCACUCCCUACUUGAGAUCGUGUAGACUCCACCUUCAAAAUAGGUCCAGAAUCCGACCCUUCUGACUGUGUCCACCACAACGAUCCUGAACCUGUCUAGCCACCAUCCUUUCUUUCCGGGUGGUGGCUCAAGACCUUGCUAACUGGCCCCUUCCCCUCCCACAGGGGAGCCAGAGGGUUUCACUUAAGUAUCAGACAGGUCAUAUCCCUCCUCUACUCAAAGCCCUGCCAUGUAACUCAUUCUACAGGUCUCCUUUACUGGGACCCUCUCUUUGUCCCCACCCCCUCCUAGACCUCCUCUCCCUCACUCCCCUCCAGCCACACUGGCCUCCUUCUGGCUGCUUCUCCAACACUCUCCAACACUCCAGGCAACUCGCCUCAGGGACUUUGCACUGGCUGUUCCUGAGGUCCAGAACACGCUUCCUCCAGAGCUGCUCACAGCUCCCUCCCUUGCCUCACCUGGAUGCUCCAGUGUUCCCUCUUCAAGGGGGCCUUCCCAGACCACUUCACAUAAAACCAGGCCCUCCCCCUAUCUGUCAUAGUUCCUUAUCCUUCACAGCACUUAUCACUACCUGCACAGUGCACGCGUGCGUACGUGUGUACUGCUGGUCUCUCCCAGCUGGAUUGGAAGUUACAUGAGAGUCAAUUUUUCCCUGUCUCCAUUCCCAGAGCCAGGUGUGGUCUGCACUAGGUGCUCAGGAAGCAUGUGCAAGUGAGCCACUCUGAUGUUUCUCCCAUGUUAGACCGGGCUGGCGACUCUUGGUGAACCACAUGGUAGCUGCAAAGAUCACAAUAUAACCGAACAGGGCUGUCCAAACGUAAUGAUGGCCAUUAGCAUCUCUCUACCCCAGAGCGGUGAUUCUGGAGCAUUCUGUGUAAUUGGAGCACAAUUAAGCAUAUGGCAGUGUUUCCGCCAGGCCGUACAUCUGAUUCUGAGCUUCCUCAACGUGGGCUCUGGUUUCUUUCUUUUUUCCCCUGUAACAACAAACCUGGAUCCACCAUCGGGCAGGCCCCGUGGUCUGGAUCACAGGGGAAUACUGGGGAAUGAGAUUCAUACUAACAGGAUUUAAUCCUGAGACAUUGGGCCAUAUAUCCAGUGGCGAUUUCCUGGAUUUUGCAGCCAACAUAAAUAACAGCCAGAGGAUUCCCGCUGUGUGCCGUGAGAUGCGUCCUGCUAGUCUGGGGCAGGAAGCUGCCCAGCCUGGGCUGUUAUUGAUGGACUAGGCAGGGCCUCCCGACGGAAUCAGUGGAGAUGCACACGCCCCCUCCCCCCAGUGCCAGACCCCUCACCGGCCUUGCUCAUUCUUCCAGGAGUGCCAGGCACUGUGUAAAGCAUUCUCGGGAUGGGAGGAGUUUAGAGACCGACAGCAGAGAUGAGAAUUAGGAAACACGUUGGCACCCCAUUCAGCCACGCAGUGAAAUCCCUCUCCUGUACAUACGAGUCUACAAGUCCUGUCUUUCUGACUGGACUUCGAACUUCCGGAGGGUGAGGUCUGCACUUCAGGUGCCCAGCUCCUGGAAAGUUGGAAGCCAUCUAUGGUACCUCAUUUUUAUAGAAGAGAUACCUAAGGAAGGAAAAUGUAGGGCAGGGUUAGAAAUAACUUGCAUCUCCACCCAUGGGGAAGUGGACAGAUAGCAUAGGGGAUGGUCAUGCCCUGGAAUAUUAUAUAGUAGUUGGAAGGAGGAAGGAUGAAUCUCGAAAAUUAAUACUGAUGGGGAAAAGAAAAUUGCAAAUAAGCCACAGGAGAUGGUAUCUCUUACGUUCAUUUGAAAACCACCUACCCAUUGUUAUUUGUUGUUCUUGGAUACAUAAAUAUGUACAUAAAGGGGUGGCAGGUGUCCUGGAACGAUGAAGCUACAUUAAAAACAUGGUGGGCCAUGUCCAUGGUAGCAGGGAGGGGAACAGACUGGUGGGGAAAGUCUGGCCAGACUGAUGAUAAUAUCGAGCUCUCCUGGAUGAGUGGCCUUGAGGGAAUCUGUUAAUUCCUGUGCACUGCCAAUCAAAAAUAAUUCAGUCAAGUCCUACAUUGGGUAUAGAGAUUACUUAAAAAAAUAUAUCCCCCCCAAAGUAAGUCAGACUUUCAGUGUCUCCCAGCCUAUGGUGGUAUAGUCCAGGCCUGGGUCCCCUGAGCCUCAGUCUGCCUCUUUCGUGGGUUUUCAUUAACUACCUGCUCAAUUCAUACAACUUAUGCAUUCAUAAAACUGAUAUACUAGACGAGCUUGCUUGGCCAAAAAAAACAUCCUUUACUGAAUCCUGCAGAUAAAAAUCCACCUCCUAGUGCAUCCUCCCCUCUCCCCGUGACAGUCUGUCGAUCCCUUGAUUUGCAUGGAACACUGCAGUGUCUGCUUAUUCUUGCUGUUCUGUCUGUUGCUUUUGCUGUUCUGUCUGCUUGUUGUUGCCGCAUGAGUCUGAUCAGCUAUAGCACCCCAUGCCUUGGAGGUCUUUUCUCUUCCCAUGACUCAAGUUUUCCCUCGGUUCUUGUUUGUUUUUUGUUUUUUGUUUUUUCCCCUUCUCUUUAUUCAAACCACUUGUCUUGAAUAGCUUCUCUGUGCCAUUAGCUCUACUGGGUGGGAUCCAAACAUCAAUACAAGAUCAUUCCUCCCUUCAAGGGGGAUUCAAAUGUGAUACUCCCCCUUUCUUAGGCAGGUCAACAAGCGUAAGGCAAGGCCAGGGGUGGAGGAACAGGGAUGCCCACAGGGAGCGGUCCUCUGUUCCAAGCAGGAACUCUCAUAAAGGCCACUGACACCCAGGCAUGUAUGCAGAGGAGGGUGGGCAGAAGGGAGAAGGAAGUGGAAACUGGGUUUAUAAGAAGGCUGGAAGGGCCUGGAAGUCCACAUUCCAUUUCAGAGACAGCGGAUAUCUCCUCCUGUCUGCAGCACUCAAGGACUAGUAAUGUGAGUUUGGGGGAAGGAGGGCCCCAGCUGGGAGUCCACACAGGUUGAGACAAUUAGGAGGAUAAUUUGGGUUGAGUCAUCUUGGCAGAGGCCAGGAGGAGAGUGUUGGGUGGGUGGGGUCCCCAAUCAGCAUAAUUGCUCCAGACUUCUGCUUCUCUUUGACACAGCAGUAAAAUAAGUUAAUCCACGGCUUGAAAAGGGUUGAGUCUGCUCAGGCAACGUGGCAUUAACAGCAAAAUCUGCCCGAACCUGACACCGGGGUGACCUGGCAAGGACCCUGUCCUGGGGCAGGAGCAGAGAACAUGGGUUGGGGGGGGAACAGGCAUAUUAUAUCCCUGCCCGGAGCCUCAAUGCCCCAAUCAGGAAAACAGGAAUAAUGCUGUGUUCUGUCAAUUCUAAGAAAUCCUUCCCUCCCCACCCUGCAUUUUAAUAGCUCUAAAAUUGGGAUGUGGUUUACAACUGAUAGUGUCCUAGAUUCGGUGAAAUAUGGUGCUAAGAAGAAAAAACUAGGAGAAUCAUUACAGUUUAUAGCAUACUUACUCUGUACCAGGCACUGUUUCCGGGAACUUUAUGGUUUAAUCCUCUCAACGACCCUAUGAAACAAAUACUGAUUUCAUGCCCGUUUUAUGGAUGGAAAAACUGAGAUUUCAAGGAGAUUCAUAUGCCCUAGUUUCCAAAGCCCGUGAGUAACAGAUGCAAAAUCCUGUGAAGUGGCCUUCUGAUGCUUCCACGUGCACAUGUCAUUUGGAAUGAUAGUGUAUUUAAAUUUUCAGCCUGAUUGCAUAGUAGGUGCUUGAUUGUUUCUACCAUUCCAAGCUGCCCUCUGUUCGGAACAUAGCACUGCCAGCCACGUGGACGUCCGAAAAAUAUUUGCUGCCUGCCAGACCAGAUGGGUGAACAAACUUCCUGUAAUCGAUGCCCUGCAACAUGUCAUGGCCCGGCCCACCCCGGAGGUCACGGGCACACAGCUCAGUAGCUGUGCUCUCCAGCCAGUUGCUAAGCCACAGAGCCAAGCCUUGAGCUUCUGGGGGCAAUCUUAUCAUCAAAGAUAGAGGAUCUAUCUGGAAAGAUGCCAGAACAGAGCCAAGACAUGGAGAGAGACUGGUUUCUUAAUUAAGCGCCUGGAUGCAGCCAUGCCUGAAGCUAACGCAAUUAUGUAAGUUAAUGCAUUUCCAAGCCAGUUUGAGCUUGGCUUCUUUUGCUUUCUUCCUAACUGUUCUGUUGACUCCAGUCACAGCCCCUUCCAGUGUAACUACUGACUAGGAGCUGGACUCAUCUUUCCAAAAUACAAAUUUAACCCUGUAACUGCUGUUUAAAUCCUCCCAUGGCUCCCCAGUGCCUUCAGGAUAAAGUCCAAAUUCCUUAGCCUGGUGUUCAAGCCCCCCAGAACUGGGCCUGUCAACAGCAGUUUCCUUUCCUGCUCUGUCCCUCAAGGGCAUUUUAUUCAGGUACACACUCAUCAGUCCCCACAACAUUAUGCCCUGCCUCAUGCCGUUCCCUCAGCUUCAGUGCUUGUCUCCAUUGAACUUCCAUUCUGUGUUCAGCUCUCCAAGGCCAUUCCCAGUGGAGCUGGGUAGAGCUUUGCACACUGAAAUUACUUGCUCAUAGAAUCGGUAGGAGGGUGUGUUAUAAAACGCAGAUCCCUCAUCCACUGAGUUGGAUUCUCUAGGGAUAGGGCCCAGGGAUCUCUGAUUUUAAUAAAAGCCUGUGAGGGUCUUCCACUCUCCUGCUGUUUGACUUCCCCCACUGAGUCUCAGUUGCCUGCUCUGUCAAAUGGGCAUAAUAUCCCUGAAAAGAUGAUUUAUUUAUAUAAAGCCUUAGCAUGACAAGGGGCACUUAGAAGACGGUCUAUAAUGGCUGUGAUAGUCAUCAUUAUUACUCUGUCUUGUAGGGUGACCAGCUCUCCCUGUUCACCGUGGACUGAGGGGUUUCCUUGAAUGUGAGGCUUUCAGUUUUAAUGCUGGGAAGGUCUCAGGCAAGUUAGGAUGAUUUGGGUACUCUACAUCCCUUGCUCCCACCCACCCCCGGAUCAAACAUCUUGCUUACUGGCUUCCCUGGCCAAUAGGAAUCACUAAAUCGGGGGCCCCAGCAGAAGGGCUGUAAACUCAGUGAACAAAAGCAAAAACCAUUUUUGAAAAUAUUAAGAAAUGAUGUUUUCCUUCCAGGAGUCAUGUGGUCUGCAUGUUGCCCUUCAUCCCACUGAAGGGGUCACAUUAUGACCCCCACCCUACAUUCCCUGGCCUCUCAGCCUCACUCACAUACAUGAUGGGGCACAGGAAACCACGUUGACCUAACUCUGGCCUGAGUUUUCUGAGUUCUUGAUGCUCUAAACUCUACCUCUAAAUAUUCCCUCCAUUGGAGUCUUGAGAAUUUUUUUUCUUCCCCUGCACUGAGUUCCUGGAUUUAUUUUGAGCCAAAGAGCUUCUCACCCAAACUCCUCUGCCUCCUUUAAAACCCAAGGCCACGUCCAACCUUGUGGGCCCAAACCACGCUUACAUAACCUGCAGUGACACUAAGUGUUUGUGAGGCUGGCCAGAGCGGGGCUGGGGCCUCCUGCGCUUGAGCACAGGGCACAUUCUGUCCUGCAAAAUGAUGCUGUUUGGUGUGUGUG